UGCAACCAACUGCUUCGCCAAGAAACUCUUCUACCUUCUCUUCGAGACAAGAUAACUUAGUCUUGGAGUUCAAUGAUUCAUCAUCACAACUUUUUGCAUGUUUACGCAACCUCAAGUGGAAAACCUGGUUAGCCCUUUUGCUGUGAAGACUGCACCUCCUGAGGAAUCGAGUGAUUCCCAUAGCCGAAAAGCUGAUACUAUCAUCCUCCCUAAAUCUCUCUGUAGGAAGAAGGACUUCACGGAUCAGGUAAGAAUUUUCCCCUACAUCACCAACACUAAGA
rnacentral:lncRNA from 1 species